UACAAAAAACAUGGAUAUAAGUCAGUAAGUCACAAUCUAUGAGAAAUUAACAAGCGUGUCAAAUGUUGAAUUUACGGUGAAACCCUAAUUGGAUCCAGGCAGAGGAGUCUCCGUCGCUGGUAGAUUUAUCCAGGGCAAAAUUUAGAGCAGAUCAAGUCAUAGCGUGCUAAGAAGAGGAAUCGGCGGUGAACCAUUUGGAUGGGUCAUUUUCUACUUCCAACCAAGAUUGUUGUGCGGAUGAGGAUGGAGGUGACGCAUUUCGUACUGGUGGAGAUGCCUUUGAGUAUGGAGCUUUUUGGGAAGAGGAUUCAUAUCCACAUGAGUAUUUCGGUGACAAUUUCUAUGACAAAUGAAAAGAAAGAGGCGCUGAUGGUGUCGCCAAGCUCGGAUGUAUUAAUUUCAAACAAAUCACUGCAAGUGAGAUUAUGAUAUUCCAUUUUCUGGAUC